rnacentral:rRNA from 1 species
UGGGGAAUAUUGCACAAUGGGCGCAAGCCUGAUGCAGCCAUGCCGCGUGUGUGAAGAAGGCCUUCGGGUUGUAAAGCACUUUCAGCGGGGAGGAAGGCGAUAAGGUUAAUAACCUUGUCGAUUGACGUUACCCGCAGAAGAAGCACCGGCUAACUCCGUGCCAGCAGCCGCGGUAAUACGGAGGGUGCAAGCGUUAAUCGGAAUUACUGGGCGUAAAGCGCACGCAGGCGGUCUGUCAAGUCGGAUGUGAAAUCCCCGGGCUCAACCUGGGAACUGCAUUCGAAACUGGCAGGCUAGAGUCUUGUAGAGGGGGGUAGAAUUCCAGGUGUAGCGGUGAAAUGCGUAGAGAUCUGGAGGAAUACCGGUGGCGAAGGCGGCCCCCUGGACAAAGACUGACGCUCAGGUGCGAAAGCGUGGGGAGCGAACAGGAUUAGAUACCCUGGUAGUCCACGCUGUAAACGAUGUCGAUUUGGAGGUUGUGCCCUUGAGGCGUGGCUUCCGGAGCUAACGCGUUAAAUCGACCGCCUGGGGAGUACGGCCGCAAGGUUA